UCCUUCCAAAAUAAAUUAUAGCUUCAGAA
rnacentral:piRNA from 1 species